rnacentral:lncRNA from 1 species
CAGUUCUAUAGGUCAGAAGUCUCACUGGCCUAACCUUGAGGUGACAUCAUUGCUAUAUUUCUUCUGGACGCACUAGGAGACAAUCUGUUUCUUUGCCUUUUCCAGUUUCUAGAGGCCAUCUUUCCCCUUGGCUCAUGGUCCCUUCCUUCAUCUUCAAAGCCAGCGGUGUAGCAUCGUAGCAUCUUCAUGUCUCCUUGGGAUAAGAUGGGGCUCUCCUGGAUGAUUCAAGAAAGAAAAUAUCUGAAUAGCUCGCAAAAUGAAUGAGUCAUGUGGCUUCUGCAGCAGCCCAAGUGGUGGAAAUCAGACUGUUCUUGUCCUCGGGAAAACAACACUAAGCCACAUCUGUGAUGAGCCAGAAAUCAGUUUUAUGUAAAAGAAUAUGUGAGGGAACAGAAAGGGGAAGAAGUCUGGAAAAUCCAUGGCACAAACCCACAGCAAAUUCAUCCUGAAGUUUGCACGUGUCACUUACCAAUGCGAAAAGACUGGAAUCAAGACAGCUCUUCAAGAGGCCUGAAACCAUCAUGCACUGAAAUCAGAAUCAAGGACCUCCCUGGGUUUUACACACAGUUCCAGCUACAGAAAAGUUUCAGGAUAAGUUAGUAUCCACUGGGACUUUGCAGACCAGAAUAAGAAUUACCCACCAAAGACCAUACAUGACAUGGAAUCAGAAAGCUUCCAAAUUCAUAUGGGUGUUUGUAUUACUUUGCAACUAAUUUAUCACCAAGCCUUUUAUCAUAUAUCACUAGACAUUUUAAUAUAUGUAGGGUUCCAUUCUUUCCUAUCCUGUUAUUUGCUAAAACAUUUCUAGCUUCGCCUAUCCCAUUUAUAUCCUUGUCUAACCCUCUGCCAUUUUCACAUAGAUUUGGGGGCUUUCGAGAUACGGAGGUUGGAGGAAAUGGUGAAAGGCAUGGGGGAGAAAGGCAAGCGGUGCUUAAGGCAGGGCUGGAGGGGAAGCCUCAAAGAUGUUGGACACUUCUGGGAAUCUUACGGGAAAGAAAAUGGAACGUUAACUGUAGUGAGUUUUGUACAUCCUUAGUAAUAAAAAUAAAGAAUGUGGGUAAUUGAAAGAUUAUUGUGGGUUUAAUCAGAUGCAUUUUCUGACUGUGCCAUUGCUCUAAGGCUGUACCUCAUGGAUCAUGGUUUCAAGUGAGGCUAUAUCAGGGGCUAUUUUCUAGACCAUGGAUUAACUGUUACCCUAGACCUAAGUUAAGAGUGCAUUUUCCCCAUGGCAGGCAGAUUUUUGGAAAAAUGGUAUAAAAACAAAAGAGUCAAUUAAAUCCAACCACUGAUGACUGCCAGAAUAAUCCUGAAGAGCUGAAGAUAUGUUGUA